rnacentral:rRNA from 1 species
GAUGAACGCUGGCGGCGUGCCUAAUACAUGCAAGUCGAGCGAACAGACGAGGAGCUUGCUCCUUCGACGUUAGCGGCGGACGGGUGAGUAACACGUAGGUAACCUACCUAUAAGACUGGGAUAACUUCGGGAAACCGGAGCUAAUACCGGAUAAUAUUUCGAACCGCAUGGUUCGAUAGUGAAAGAUGGCUUUGCUAUCACUUAUAGAUGGACCUGCGCCGUAUUAGCUAGUUGGUAAGGUAACGGCUUACCAAGGCAACGAUACGUAGCCGACCUGAGAGGGUGAUCGGCCACACUGGAACUGAGACACGGUCCAGACUCCUACGGGAGGCAGCAGUAGGGAAUCUUCCGCAAUGGGCGAAAGCCUGACGGAGCAACGCCGCGUGAGUGAUGAGGGUCUUCGGAUCGUAAAACUCUGUUAUUAGGGAAGAACAAACGUGUAAGUAACUGUGCACGUCUUGACAGUACCUAAUCAGAAAGCCACGGCUAACUACGUG